rnacentral:tRNA from 1 species
GCCCAGAUGGCGGAAUUGGUAGACGCGUGGGUCUCAAACACCCAUGGUGGCAACACCGUGCCGGUUCGACCCCGGCUCUGGGUA